rfam:Loxodonta africana unplaced genomic scaffold scaffold_108, whole genome shotgun sequence.
CCUAAGGCUCUUUUCAGAGCCACCCACAUUCUCAGAAAAUAGCUG